rfam:Ovis aries breed Texel chromosome 8, whole genome shotgun sequence.
UCCCUGGUGGCUCAGACGGUAAAGCAUCUGCCUACAAUGCAGGAGACCUGGGUUCGAUCCCUGGGUUGGGAA